AUACGGAGGAUCCGAGCGUUAUCCGGAUUUAUUGGGUUUAAAGGGAGCGUAGGUGGACAGUUAAGUCAGUUAUGAAAGUUUGCGGCUCAACCGUAAAAUUGCAGUUGAUACUGGCUGUCUUGAGUACAGUAGAGGUGGGCGGAAUUCGUGGGGUAGCGGUGAAAUGCUUAGAUAUCACGAAGAAAUCCGAUUGCGAAGGCAGCUCACUGGACUGCAACUGACACUGAUGCUCGAAAGUGUGGGUAUCAAACAUGAUUAGAUACCCUGGUAGUCCACACAGUAAACGAUGAAUACUCGCUGUUUGCGAUAUACAGUAAGCGGCCAAGCGAAAGCAUUAAGUAUUCCACCUGGGGAGUACGCCGGCAACGGUGAAACUCAAAUGAAUUGACGGGG
rnacentral:rRNA from 1 species